GUCGUUGCCUUGGCAGUCUCAGGCGAUGAAAGACGUGGUAGCCUGCGAAAAGCUUCGGGGAGUCGGCAAACAGACUUUGAUCCGGAGAUCUCUGAAUGGGGGAACCCACCUAGGAUAACCUAGGUAUCUUGUACUGAAUCCAUAGGUGCAAGAGGCGAACCAGGGGAACUGAAACAUCUAAGUACCCUGAGGAAAAGAAAUCAACCGAGAUUCCCUUAGUAGUGGCGAGCGAACGGGGAUUAGCCCUUAAGCUUCAUUGAUUUUAGCGGAACGCUCUGGAAAGUGCGGCCAUAGUGGGUGAUAGCCCCGUACGCGAAAGGAUCUUUGAAGUGAAAUCGAGUAGGACGGAGCACGAGAAACUUUGUCUGAACAUGGGGGGACCAUCCUCCAAGGCUAAAUACUACUGACUGACCGAUAGUGAACCAGUACCGUGAGGGAAAGGCGAAAAGAACCCCGGAGAGGGGAGUGAAAUAGAACCUGAAACCGUAUGCGUACAAGCAGUGGGAGCCUACUUGUUAGGUGACUGCGUACCUUUUGUAUAAUGGGUCAGCGACUUAUAUUCAGUGGCAAGCUUAACCGUAUAGGGUAGGCGUAGCGAAAGCGAGUCUUAAUAGGGCGUUUAGUCGCUGGGUAUAGACCCGAAACCGGGCGAUCUAUCCAUGAGCAGGUUGAAGGUUAGGUAACACUGACUGGAGGACCGAACCCACUCCCGUUGAAAAGGUAGGGGAUGACUUGUGGAUCGGAGUGAAAGGCUAAUCAAGCUCGGAGAUAGCUGGUUCUCCUCGAAAGCUAUUUAGGUAGCGCCUCAUGUAUCACUCUGGGGGGUAGAGCACUGUUUCGGCUAGGGGGUCAUCCCGACUUACCAAACCGAUGCAAACUCCGAAUACCCAGAAGUGCCGAGCAUGGGAGACACACGGCGGGUGCUAACGUCCGUCGUGAAAAGGGAAACAACCCAGACCGCCAGCUAAGGUCCCAAAGUUGUGGUUAAGUGGUAAACGAUGUGGGAAGGCUUAGACAGCUAGGAGGUUGGCUUAGAAGCAGCCAUCCUUUAAAGAAAGCGUAAUAGCUCACUAGUCGAGUCGGCCUGCGCGGAAGAUGUAACGGGGCUCAAACCACACACCGAAGCUGCGGGUGUCACGUAAGUGACGCGGUAGAGGAGCGUUCUGUAAGCCUGUGAAGGUGAGUUGAGAAGCUUGCUGGAGGUAUCAGAAGUGCGAAUGCUGACAUGAGUAACGACAAUGGGUGUGAAAAACACCCACGCCGAAAGACCAAGGGUUCCUGCGCAACGUUAAUCGACGCAGGGUUAGUCGGUUCCUAAGGCGAGGCUGAAAAGCGUAGUCGAUGGGAAACAGGUUAAUAUUCCUGUACUUCUGGUUACUGCGAUGGAGGGACGGAGAAGGCUAGGCCAGCUUGGCGUUGGUUGUCCAAGUUUAAGGUGGUAGGCUGAAAUCUUAGGUAAAUCCGGGGUUUCAAGGCCGAGAGCUGAUGACGAGUCGUCUUUUAGAUGACGAAGUGGUUGAUGCCAUGCUUCCAAGAAAAGCUUCUAAGCUUCAGGUAACCAGGAACCGUACCCCAAACCGACACAGGUGGUCGGGUAGAGAAUACCAAGGCGCUUGAGAGAACUCGGGUGAAGGAACUAGGCAAAAUGGCACCGUAACUUCGGGAGAAGGUGCGCCGGCUAGGGUGAAGGAUUUACUCCGUAAGCUCUGGCUGGUCGAAGAUACCAGGCCGCUGCGACUGUUUAUUAAAAACACAGCACUCUGCAAACACGAAAGUGGACGUAUAGGGUGUGACGCCUGCCCGGUGCCGGAAGGUUAAUUGAUGGGGUUAGCGCAAGCGAAGCUCUUGAUCGAAGCCCCGGUAAACGGCGGCCGUAACUAUAACGGUCCUAAGGUAGCGAAAUUCCUUGUCGGGUAAGUUCCGACCUGCACGAAUGGCGUAACGAUGGCGGCGCUGUCUCCACCCGAGACUCAGUGAAAUUGAAAUCGCUGUGAAGAUGCAGUGUAUCCGCGGCUAGACGGAAAGACCCCGUGAACCUUUACUGUAGCUUUGCACUGGACUUUGAGCCUGCUUGUGUAGGAUAGGUGGGAGGCUUUGAAGCGUGGACGCCAGUUCGCGUGGAGCCAUCCUUGAAAUACCACCCUGGCAUGCUUGAGGUUCUAACUCUGGUCCGUAAUCCGGAUCGAGGACAGUGUAUGGUGGGCAGUUUGACUGGGGCGGUCUCCUCCUAAAGAGUAACGGAGGAGUACGAAGGUGCGCUCAGACCGGUCGGAAAUCGGUCGCAGAGUAUAAAGGCAAAAGCGCGCUUGACUGCGAGACAGACACGUCGAGCAGGUACGAAAGUAGGUCUUAGUGAUCCGGUGGUUCUGUAUGGAAGGGCCAUCGCUCAACGGAUAAAAGGUACUCCGGGGAUAACAGGCUGAUACCGCCCAAGAGUUCAUAUCGACGGCGGUGUUUGGCACCUCGAUGUCGGCUCAUCACAUCCUGGGGCUGAAGCCGGUCCCAAGGGUAUGGCUGUUCGCCAUUUAAAGUGGUACGCGAGCUGGGUUUAGAACGUCGUGAGACAGUUCGGUCCCUAUCUGCCGUGGACGUUUGAGAUUUGAGAGGGGCUGCUCCUAGUACGAGAGGACCGGAGUGGACGAACCUCUGGUGUUCCGGUUGUCACGCCAGUGGCAUUGCCGGGUAGCUAUGUUCGGAAAAGAUAACCGCUGAAAGCAUCUAAGCGGGAAACUUGCCUCAAGAUGAGAUCUCACUGGGAACUUGAUUCCCCUGAAGGGCCGUCGAAGACUACGACGUUGAUAGGCUGGGUGUGUAAGCGUUGUGAGGCGUUGAGCUAACCAGUACUAAUUGCCCGUGAGGCUUGACCAU
rnacentral:rRNA from 1 species